rnacentral:rRNA from 1 species
GCAUAACGCGAAGAACCUUACCAGGGCUUGACAUCCCGUGCAUAGUAUAGAGAUAUAUGAAGUCCUUCGGGACACGGAGACAGGUGGUGCAUGGUUGUCGUCAGCUCGUGUCGUGAGAUGUUGGGUUAAGUCCCGCAACGAGCGCAACCCUUAUUGUUAGUUGCUACCAUUUAGUUGAGCACUCUAACGAGACUGCCGGUGACAAAUCGGAGGAAGGUGGGGACGACGUCAAAUCAUCAUGCCCCUUAUGUCCUGGGCUACACACGUACUACAAUGGCUGUUAACAAAGGGAAGCAAGACCGCGAGGUGGAGCAAAUCCCUAAAAGCAGUCUCAGUUCGGAUUGCAGGCUGAAACCCGCCUGCAUGAAGUCGGAAUUGCUAGUAAUCGCGGAUCAGCAUGCCGCGGUGAAUACGUUCCCGGGUCUUGUACACACCG